GCUAGUAUCUUUUAAUGAUAUCUUUAUCUACAAUAAAAGUUAGGCCGAGUACAUAAAGUAAUUAAAGUUAGGGCUUGAGGUGCUUCUCAAAAAUCAUCUUUUUGUCUCAAAAAAAUCAAAAUUUUCUUUAGGCUAGGAACAAGUAGAAUAUUUAGAACAAUUGAUUCUAAGCAAAAAGUUGCCAUUGACCUGGCAAGAUUGAAAGUAUGAAGUGUUGGCCAUCUCUAAACUCGUUGAAGGCGUUGCGUGGAUUCUUGGGUCUCCUUGGGUACUACAGAAGUUUAAUAAAAGAUUAUGAGAAGAUUAGCCAACUACUAAAAAGUUUGCUUAAAAAGGAAAUUUUUUUUUUUAUAGAAUCAAACUGCAAAGGAUGUUUUUAAUAGCUUGAAGUAAGCAAUAUGCACACCGUUUGUUUAACUAUGCCCAAUUUGUAGAAAACCUUUGUUCUUGAGUGUCGCGCAUCAAGGGAAGGCAUAAGAGCUCUACUUCUAAAAGAGACCAGGCCCAUAUCCUAUUUAAGUAAGGCCUUGUCACCAAAAAACUUGGAAAUGUUUGUUUAUGGAAAGUAAAUGCUAGUAGUAAUAUUCACAAUGUAAAAGUGGAGUCUUUAUUACUAAGAAAGCAUUUCAAGGUAAUCAAUAAUCAUUUCAACUUGAAAUAUAUGUUGGAGCAGCAUAUAUCUAUAUCUAUGCAGCAGAAAUAGCUUACCAAGUUAAUGGGUUAUGAUUUUGAAAUUGUUUUGAGGAGUGGAAGAGAAAAUAAAGCAGCUAACGCCUUAUCUAGGCUACAUGAAUCUAUUGAGAAUGUGAUGGCAAUCCCCUUUGCUUUAGGUAGGACUAGGCAAAAUCAAAUUUGGAUUAACCCGAUUGGUUGAUCAGGUUGGAAAAAAAUUCAUCCAAUCGAAUCAGAUUGGAUCGGGUCAACAAAUCAGGUUGUGUAAAGAUCAUAUCGGAUUCGAAUUAUAUAUAGAUUACUCCACAUAUUUUUAUUUCAUAAAGAAAAAAAAAAGCAAAAAUUGAAAAAGCCUACCUAAAACAGUCGUUGAAUAUACAAGUUAUAGUAUAUACCAUCAAAACUUCAAAAGACAAAUUCGGGUUUUCGGAUUGGAGUGGAGCUUGGAGAAACUUGGUGAUGGUGGAGGCAUGAAGCAAUAGAUCUGGUCGCAAAGCAGUAGAUCAGAUCGUCGGUGACUACAGGAUGUGUAGGUUGCCGCAUCGAUGGACUAGUAGUGUGUUGUCGGCUGCCGUUUUGCUUUUGCAAUGUGUGUGUGAGAAAUCGUGAGGUGUGAAGCUGUGAACUAUCAGCAACGAGCAUCAUUGCAUGAGCCAUGAAUUGUGAGCAACGAGUGUGAGCCGUGAACUGUGAACGACAAGCAUGAGUCGUGAGGCCGUAAGGCUGUGAAAGUGUGAAGAAUAGAAGACUGGAGAAGAAAAGAGUAAGAGUGUGAGGCUGUGAGCUUGUGUAUUUGCGUCGAUGUGUGAUUGUGUGUGUGUUAAAUUUUUUUUUAUUUUUAAUAUCUUUUAAGCCAAUCUGAUUAGAUGUUUAAACCCGCUCUGUUCAAGUUGGCUAAGGUACAUCCGAUCAAAUUGGGUGCAUGAUCCAAUCCGAAUCCUUUUUUUUAGAUCAGAUCGGGUCAAGUUGGGUCAAGUUAGGUCAAAUUGGAUUAUUUGUAGGGAUGGCAACGGGGAGGGUAAGGGAGGGGACCGACAUCUCCGUAUUCAUCCC
rnacentral:lncRNA from 1 species